GGACACAAGUGCAACCCCCACUAGUACACACACUAGUACACCCCACAUAGACAGUCCCUCACACCGGGAGGCACUGCCUGCUGCACAUGACCACCCCCACAUGGCACGCUCUUGCACACGCAGCAGCAGGUGUGCGGCAUGCUCACAAGGGCACACCCAACACACACAGCUCUUCCUCACACAUGGGGUGAGCUGUUGGCCUGCCUAUGGCCACUCCCACCCUGCCCCUGGCCUGUGCCCUUGGGCUUUGUCAGGCCAAGGGUGACACCCACAGGGUGAGCCAGGUUGGGGGGUUUUCUGAGUCCACAGACUAGAAUCCAGGCAGAGUUGAAACAACUCACCCCAGUGCACCCCUCUGUUCUCAUUUAUGGAAACUGUGGCCCAGAGAGGGCAAGGGAAUGGUCAAGUCACACAACCAAUGUUCUUCCAAACACUUCAAAGCAUGUGAGAACAUGGCAGAAAAAGAAGGAGGUACGCAGCUCUCCUGGCCACAGCCUUCCUCCAGCCUCCUGACUCGGUUCCUCUGGUGUUAGGCAGAACCAGGCCUCAGCUGGUUCCAGUCCUAGGCCUUCCUCCAGGAUGACUGCCAAGAUUGGGCAUGGACUGAGACUUUCAUCCUCUGCCCUGGGUGCAAGGUCAUUUGAAACUGGGCAGGGGACAGCACCCACUGUUGAAACAAGGCCUUCACAGGCUUGGGGUGCUAAUGCUCACUUGGUCUUGGCCACCUGCAGCAAAUGCAGUCCCUCAGCCUGGCCCUCUUGCUCCCUGCCUCAGUCUCCCUCCCCAGGACUCCCAGCCGAAGACCCACAGCAGCUGCCGAGAAUGUGGCUCCAUUAAGGGGGCCCAGGCUCGAAGGACUGAUGCUGCGCUCUUGGCACCAUAAGCCCUGGAGGCGACUGUAUCUGCUGCUGAACCCUCCGGAAGUGGACCCCUUCAGGAUGUGAGCCUUGGUGUCUGCUUCCUUUCUCAGUGCUGUGCGAGAUGGCCCCUGGAAGGUGUUCAUCCUCAGGCUGGCUGUGUGCCACUGUGUGACCAUCACAGCGCUAAUGGACAUCUGGGCGGGUUCCAGGUCCUGGCUGUCAUGAACAGUACCUCUCUGAACAUUCUAGUUCCUGCCUGUUGUGACUACGGGCAAGAGGGAUUACAGGGCCCAGGGUGUGUGAUGGUUCAGCUUUGGAAGAUACAGGAAGUGUUCCUUUUUAAUCAACAUUUUAAUAAGGAUGUCCCAAGGCCUGAAGUGCAACAAAAGGCUGUGAUUCCAGGGGUGAAGUCUUUGGGGUG